CUGAAUUACGUGCCGUUUAAUCAAUCGAUCAUAGCCUCACGGUAAGAGCCAGCCACUUUAGCAUCUUUAGCAUGCCGAGCGUUCACUUGCCUGUUGUCCCACGGUAAACAUAUGAUUUAAUAACUCCACAGAGUACCGAGCUCCGUGACUGCCGUGUCAUCCCCGACUAACCCAGACUCUACUGAUGGGAGGGUGGGAUCCGUGGUAAAACCCGGAAUGGAUUAAUCUUUUCUGUCAAAGCUGGGGGAUACGGGAAUGGAUUGAAUUGGAUGGAUUGAAUGCAAGGACUGGAUUAUAUGGAAUGGACUGUCGCCCAAUUCAAUGAACUGUAAAAUACAAGGAAGAAAACUGAA